UACGGGGGGGGCAAGCGUUGUUCGGAAUUACUGGGCGUAAAGGGCUCGUAGGCGGCCAACUAAGUCAGACGUGAAAUCCCUCGGCUUAACUGGGGAACUGCGUGUGAUACUGGAUGGCUUGGAUUUGGGAGAGGGAUGCGGAAUUCCAGGUGUAGCGGUGAAAUGCGUAGAUAUCUGGAGGAACACCGGUGGCGAAGGCGGCAUCCUGGACCAAUAUUGACGCUGAGGAGCGAAAGCUAGGGGAGCAAACGGG
rnacentral:rRNA from 1 species